rnacentral:misc_RNA from 1 species
UUCUAAGCUCUACACAACAUCC